GAUGAACGCUGGCGGCGUGCCUAAUACAUGCAAGUCGAGCGAACAGACGAGGAGCUUGCUCCUCUGACGUUAGCGGCGGACGGGUGAGUAACACGUGGAUAACCUACCUAUAAGACUGGGAUAACUUCGGGAAACCGGAGCUAAUACCGGAUAAUAUAUUGAACCGCAUGGUUCAAUAGUGAAAGACGGUUUUGCUGUCACUUAUAGAUGGAUCCGCGCCGCAUUAGCUAGUUGGUAAGGUAACGGCUUACCAAGGCGACGAUGCGUAGCCGACCUGAGAGGGUGAUCGGCCACACUGGAACUGAGACACGGUCCAGACUCCUACGGGAGGCAGCAGUAGGGAAUCUUCCGCAAUGGGCGAAAGCCUGACGGAGCAGCGCCGCGUGAGUGAUGAAGGUCUUCGGAUCGUAAAACUCUGUUAUUAGGGAAGAACAAAUGUGUAAGUAACUAUGCACGUCUUGACGGUACCUAAUCAGAGAGCCACGGCUAACUACGUG
rnacentral:rRNA from 1 species